rnacentral:rRNA from 1 species
CCUACGGGUGGCAGCAGUGGGGGAUAUUGCACAAUGGGGGAAACCCUGAUGCUGCGACGCCGCGUGUGGGAAGACGGUCCUCUGGAUUGUAAACCACUGUCCCCAGGGACGAAGAUGCCGUUACCUGGGGAGGAAGCUCCGGCAAACUACGUGCCAGCAGCCGCGGUAAUCCGUAGGGAGCGAGCGUUGUCCGGAAUUACUGGGUGUAAGGGGAGCGUAGGCGGGGAUGCAAGUUGGGGUUCAAAACUACCGGCUCAACUGGUAGUCGCACUCAAAACUGCAGCUCUUGAGUGAAGUAGAGGCAGGCGGAAUUCCUAGUGUAGCGGUGAAAUGCGUAGAUAUUAGGAGGAACACCAGUGGCGAAGGCGGCCUGCUGGGCUGUUACUGACGCUGAGGCUCGAAAGUGUGGGGAGCAAACAGGAUUAGAUACCCCAGUAGUC